UACAGAGGGUGCGAGCGUUGUCCGGAAUCACUGGGCGUAAAGGGCGCGUAGGCGGUUGCCGAAGCGUGCGGUGAAAGCCCGGGGCUCAACUCCGGGUCGGCCGUGCGAACCGAGCGACUGGAGUCCGGUAGAGGCUGAUGGAAUUCCGGGUGUAGCGGUGGAAUGCGUAGAGAUCCGGAAGAACACCGGUGGCGAAGGCGGUCAGCUGGGCCGGUACUGACGCUGAGGCGCGACAGCGUGGGGAGCAAACAGG
rnacentral:rRNA from 1 species